rnacentral:lncRNA from 1 species
CUGUGCAGUCCAAAACUAUAUACAGCCUUCCCUUAUAAAAAGUUCUCCUUCUUCCACAACCAUAACUGCAUUCCCACCAUCUCCUUCUCUACUUUUCCCUCCUUCCGUUAGUAGCAGCAAUGGAGGCAGCUCUCAAGCUCAGGCUCUUUGCCGUCGCCAUGAUCGCAGUCGUGAUGGCCUCUUCCUUAGUGGAGAAGGCCGCCGCGGCCGAGGCUCCCGCCCCCAGCCCCACCUCCGGCACAGCAACCUCGUCGUUCUCGGCCACUGCUGCUGCUGCUUUGUUCACCCUCACCUUCGGCUAUCUUUUCUGCUGAGCAACAUGUUCUUCGAAUCCUCUGAAUUGUAGCUUCAUUCUUCAUUCCUCUGUUGCCAUGGGUGGAUCUCGUGUGUGUAAUGGAUGGAGGGGAAGAGGAUAAUGCAUGUAUGACGAUAGUAAAUGGUGGGUUUGUAUCAUUUCCAUGGUGUUUAUAAUGAUAUGAUUUGUUUUUUAGCAAAUUUCCUAAAAUAAUCAAGUUUUUAUUUUGUUUUUCACAUAGCACCUCUGCUUUAUUUUGACAAAGUAUUUUUUUUUAUUUUUUUUAAAUAAGAUUACCCUUGUGGUCCUCAUUAUCGCCUCUGUCAUCUUUCAUCAGGCAAAGGCAAAGAAAGCCCCUCCCUACUUCCUUGCCUUCUUGGAUGUCGAAAUCUUCUUUUUCACUCCCGUCAUUCCUCGAUCUAACAACGAGAAGCCCUCCUCCCUCUUUCUUUGUUCCCCUAAUGUAAAAGUUGAGUGGUGAGAAUAGAACUCUCUUCUAACAUAGUUACUUAAUUUUGUCAUAGGGGGAGAAAUUAAAACCAAAGAACUUCUAGUUAUUGAGGACGUCGAAGGAGACGAUAAAAGAAGGGUCGCUAAGGUGAGAUAAUUUUAGAAGUGAGCUCUGAAUGUUAAGUGAGGCAACCAAUGAACAUAUGAAGGGGGUAGGCCUCUCGGUCAGUCCAAGGGGUAAUAUGCCUCACAGAGAUGACAUACUUUAUGAUGGGACUCGGGUGACUAGUUAAGUGAUGAUGUGAUUAGAUAAUUUUAUUCUUAUCACUUAACUUUCAUAAUUCAGGGGCAAUGGUGACAAUGAAGAGAUAAGAGCCAUGAUUAAAAAAGAGACGAUCGAGCUAAGGAUAAAGGGUCAUAAGGGUAAUCUUAUCUUCAAUGUCAUACUCAAAUAUGACAUAUAUUUUUAGGAUAGAACUCUGAAUUAAAGGUUCUAGAGGUUGGCAUUUCUAUUCAUCCAAAUCAUCUUGAGAGAAUUGGUAAUGAUAAGCUUGAGUGUUUAGGAAUCAAUGCUCAAUUAAAUGGCCCUCAAGUAACCAAGUCUCUUCAUUCAUCAAAGUGCCUGAAGCAACUCAAACAGUAGCAUAAUUUAGACAACACAGAUUUCCUGAUUGAAUGAACUUUCUUGCAAAUCCAAACAAAGUUUUGUGAGCUUUAUGGUGAUAGUAGAAAGAGUACUUCUGAUCGAACCACUUCCAUCUGCAAAUAACUUUUAAGGGUUUCUGCAGUAAGAUUAAAGUCAGAGUGGAUCUCAUUAAUUGUGUAGCUCAUGAGUGUCCUCCUUUGUCCAAUCAUUGCAUCCAUAUUCCAUUGCAAAUAUAAUAAAAUGAUCAUUCCUCAUAAAAGGAAAAAAUUAAAAUGAAUUAUGUUUAAUUACACCUUUUCCAAGUUGUUGAAAAUGAAUUAUGAAUUAUUCCCUAUGUUUAAGAAUGAGUGGGAAGAAUUGGUGGGUUAAGAGACCAGGAGCGGGUCGGAUCCAAUCGGAUCUGGGAUGUGGAUCAAUAACGCCAACCCGCAGGGGAGUGACGAUGGUAUUACCGUAAAUUCUGUGAAUCCAAGGAUGCUAAUGUGUCGGAUCACCGUAUAUAAGGAGAGCGAGGAAUUAGGGUUCUGCCAACGCUGCAUCCGAGGUACGUGCGUGCCUGCUCACCCUUGUCGAUCCUCGUUUGUCAUCUCCAAACUCGAUCUUUUCGUUAUCUGACUACGAGUAAGUCUUGCUUCGGUCUCCAUAGUUCGCGCUCUCAGCUGACGGUUUGGGCUUCUUCCGGAGGCGGUCCUUGAGAGGUUAGGAAGAAGAAUUUGUUUCUUCGAUGUGUCCUCUUGUUAUUUCUCUCAACUUGUUCCCUAGGCUACUCUGUUUACGAUAAAUUCAUCAAGGGACUUGGGGAUUGAUAUGUAUCAUUGUAAAAGUUCACUUUUUUUUUUUUUUAUGUUUUUUGGGUUUGAAGCUCAGCGCUUCUUGAUCUUUCUGUGACGCAUUUACAUAUCUAUCAUUUUGCAUAGGUGCUAUUGUUCCUUUUCGGACUUCUUCUUGUAUUAGAUAUAUUCUAGCUUAAGUGUUGAUUGGAGUAGUAGCGUAUUGGGCUAUAAGAGACUUAAUUUUUCAUGUUACUGAUGUAUGUGCUAAAGCAACAUGAAUCAUUUGUCUUAAUUUUCUUCAACAAACCAUGCCUUGUUAUACAUAAUACUGAACAAGAACCAUAUAUUUAAUUUGCUAAUUUUUCCCUAGGCAUGAGUUGGUUCCUGUGACCCCUUUUAACAAAGUUUGCCCGGUCAUUAUUACACUACAGCAAUUGAUCGAAGUAAAGAGAGAUGUUGAAAUAGUUAAUCUAGUUUAUUUUGAUGUCAGUUUCAGGCUUUGCCAGAAGCCAAGAGUUUUUCUUGGUGUUAUUUUUUUUUCUUUUGCUGCUUAAGCCCUUGUCAUAUGAUGUUGAGAUCCAUACUGGCAUUUAUUUUUAUGUUCAUAUGUAUGUGCUGUUUAUAUGUCUGUAGACGUAAAGAUUAUAUACCAUAAUGGCUGUAUGUAUUUAUAUGAGUGACAAAAUCCCUAGAACCUAUCAGAAUUAUUCAUAAUGUUUUGGAAGAUUUAGUUAUUUUAAGUUGUGGUUUUUAAACAUCUUCUGAAGGAAGCCUUCUGCUGUCUACACGACUAACAUCACGGUGUUGCCUUUGCCAUUUAUACUGCUGACAAGCUAAUUUGUCCUGAAAAAUUAGUUUCUUUCACCUGCGCCGCCCCUACGAUUAAUGGAUUUUUAGAACUUGAUUGUUCAAAUGUAUUCUAAUGGUUUUGAAAAGAUUGAAAUUCUUACUAUUAGGAUACAGCUUGUGUACAUAUUCAAAAUCAAAAUAGUAGGAUGCUUUGGAAUGUCUGCUUAGACAUUUUAAUUUUAAUUUCAACUUUUUGAACUAAUUUAGGUAUUGUUUUUUUCCCCUUCUGUUCCUCUUUGAGGCAUUGUUAUGUAACUUUCAAACUCCAUGCAAUAUCUUUUGUAUCUCAAUCAUAGUCUUAGUCGAGACUUGUGUAUCAAUGUUUGAGUGUUUCAGUACAAUUUCAUCCUCUUAUUCACACAAGGAACUGGUUAUUGACAAUGUAUAUGAGGAUUAGUACAUCCUAAGAACCAACCAUCUUAAGGUUUGUUGGUAGAAUUCAAUAGAUUUUCAUUUUCCCUUUUGAUAUAUUUGUGUUUAUUUUACUUGUAAUUGAUGGAUUAGUUUGUCUUUUAAAGGCUUUAUUUGUUUUAAAAGGUCAUGCUUGAUGACUUCUACUGCUAUUCUGUGCUAAAUCAACGUUACAAACCUGAACCAUGUGAUUCUUCAACCAAGAUCUGCACCAUUCAACUGCAACAUUUAAUUCGUUGGACAUGCUAUGCUUACUAUGUUUCGUCUCUUUUCCAAAGUUAUGUUGCUUUUGUUUCAUAAAAAAAUAGCAGGAUCCACCAAUACCUUAUCUGAUCAUAUUGUGUAACUUGUCUUUCUGCAGCAUGGAUACUCAAGCUAAGCUUGCAGUCGUCGUCAAGGUGAUGGGUCGUACCGGAUCCAGAGGUCAAGUGACUCAGGUCAGGGUCAAGUUCUUGGAUGAUCAAAAUCGUCUCAUCAUGAGGAACGUGAAAGGUCCAGUAAGGGAAGGUGACAUCCUCACUCUCCUCGAGUCCGAAAGGGAAGCGAGGAGGUUGCGCUGAUCGUAUUCCCUCGGUGAAUCCUGCAUGGAUGUGCACAUGAACAAGAUGCAGUUUUGUGAUAGAUUAGUUAUUUGCCCUAUUAUGGCACUUUGGUGUGGUGUGUGACAGUGUUUGCCGUACCAAAUCAUACCGUCCGAUAUGGGCGAUAUGUACCGGUCCGAUAGAUCAACGGUAUGUGGAUCGUUCGGUACCAGUCUGCACUGUAGUAGUACAGUGCACUGUUGUAGUGCACUGUACACUACACUGCUACAGUGCGGUAUACCGCUCGGUACAUCGUACCGUACCGAUACCGAGCCCAGGUCAAAAUAUCAGUACGAUAUUACGAACCUUAGUGUGUGAUACCAUUGCUAGCUUGACCAACUGCCACAACUAUCACUUUUAUUGAACUCUUGGAAUCAUUUUGUUUGGUGCUUAUUAAGUUGAAAAUGUGGUACUUGUGUCUGAUCCCUCGCAUCUAAUUCUUUUUGGUUACUAGAAUUAGAACAACUAUUAUGUCAUCAUUUUUACUCUCCAUUUGAUCUUUAGUCUGAUCUAUUAACAUUGAUGAGUAAAUAAUUAAAAGGUUCAUUAAACAAAUUUAAUCUCUGUUCUAUUAAAAUUCACUGAAUAACUAAAUAUAGAAAUCAACAAUAUACACAUGAAGAAGUAUCAUUUUUUUUUCGUUUUAUGCAUAUAAGCCCUCUAAAAAUAUAAUUACAUAGGAUAUGCCCUUAUAUUAGCAUGGUUAACACCACCACCACUCCCAAUGCCUUGCAACGACAUGCUUUAGGGGUAAUCCUGUCAUUCCGACACUUUUUCCAGAAAACAAUAUUGAUGUAAAUUAUACACCAUAUAAUUUCCCACUUUAUAUAUUCCGAGAAACAAACAGAUUAUAAAUAUAUGUAUUGUCUAACCCUUAUUCCUUUAAAUAUUCCUUAUUCUUGUGUUCGCAAUCACAUCAGUACCCUUCGAAAUAAACUAUAGCACAUACUAGGGGUGUUUUUAUGAUUCCAACUUUUUAAUAGACCUAAGUUAUAAAAGUAGUAAUGCAAUUAUUCGCUUUACGUAAUUAACUACUUACAUGAGGGUGGUUAUGCAAAAAUACCCGUCUAAAUAUCACGGGCACCGUUCCUCCUGCCAUCACAUCACACCUGUGUUAAAUCUGCCGUUCAGUGGCCGUCGCUCCCCAAAUCCAUUUGGAGGAAGCCCAAAGAGAUAGGAGAGCUCGACUUCCGCUCCCGAGACGGUCAUCCCUGCUUCCCCCGAGGUAAAAGUCGAAUCUUUGGUGCUAUUACUCCAAUUUCUUUUGCGGAGAUGGCAAUCAUCUUUUUGUUCAUCGUUGGUUUGACUUCCCUUCCCCCACAGCUCCGGAAUUGCUGGGAAAGGGUUGGCGGCGGGUUUGAUUUAGCUAGUAAUUGAUUCACCCAGAGACCAAUCUUGUUUGUCCUUUGUGAUUGGUGUGAUUUCUCUUUUCCGCUACCAGGGUUGUUCUUGUUGAGCAGCGGCGGAGAGCGAGUUCUUCAGGGAAAGGUAAGAUUGGAGCCGCUUUUUCCUCCCUCUUUCGGGCUGUCUUUGCCCUUCCUUGCUGGGAACUUUCUAUCGCAGGGUCGUCUGUGGUGGGUAUCUGGGUGCCUUUUGCUUCGGUGCUUUGUGUCUUGGCUCGCCUUUUUGAUCUGUAGUUACUUACAGGGUGUAGCCGUGAGUUGUUUUGAAGGGUCAUAGAUGCUUAAGAUGGAAAAAAAAGGAGAACAACGAUGGUUUGUUCUUCGAAAUCGACACUACUAGAAUUUGCUGCGGAAGCAGAACUCUAGGGUUGAUGAUGUUUGUUGGUCGAAACAUCAAGCUAUUCUGAGACGGAACUAAAGAUCGAGCCUCCGUCACUUAAAGGUGCGCUGGGAGGGCCGGGCGCCCGCCUGGUUAAACUUAGGCCAGCUCGAGCGUGAGUCGAAGCAAAACACUCAUCUGGUUCGAUUGAACCAGGUAUCUGUCGCAGAAACCACCACCCGCCUGUGCCCUAACGCCGAAGUCCUUCUUUCCCCCACUGCGUUCCUCACGGCGGCGGAGUUCCUCCCACCGGCGAACGACGGCGGCGGCUUCUUCCCCUCCCUCCAGGUAUAUCUCUCUCUUUCUCCUCCUCCGUCCUACCUCUGCCCCGUUCACCGCAGUCCCCCGUCUCCCCCACUCUUCCGCUCUUUCCCCCUCUUCCCCUCUUCUUCGUUCACCGCUGCCCUUCUACCGUCCUACGAACCUCGUUUUCCCUUAAUUUUGAUGUGUCGAAUUUUGAGUAUUUGGAAUUGUUUCUUUGGAUGUUUUUAUGCUUGAGUUCUGGAUUUUUUUUCUAUGAAAUAUCUAGAGGUUAUGUUUUCUACCCGAUCAAUUGUAAUCGGUUUGGAAUUUGGUUUUACAAGAAUCUAGUACGCAUGCAAUGAGUGUUUGUUACGUUUUGUUGAUUGGGUGGAAAGCUUUUAGUGGAAAUAGCAUUUCAGCAUUCCCACAUAAAGUCGGUCUGUGCCUUAGUUUGUAUGAAUUCAUUGGACACCUGAUGUUGUUCGAACAGCAUUAGGAGGUACUGUACAUGCAUAACAUACAACUUAGUGCAUGGAAAGUUGCACAUCAUUGUGCGCUGGAUCAGUUGAGAACAACAGCUGCCUGCUGUAGUGAACAAUGUGGUUUGGUAUUUUAAAUGAAUGCAAGUUUGAUAUAUUAUUUUAGUUUUAGUUUGUUUUUAUUAAUCAUGAUAUAUAAUUUUUAAAUUAUAAUAUUCAUGAGUGUCUUGCACUCGCUCGAGCGAGUGCCUAGCGUUUUGAACAUUUUGGGACCGUGGUGCCUUUUGGCGUUUAGCAUGUUUGACUACACUUAAGUUUCUUAUACACAUUCUAGGACGUAUAUCAGCACUUUUGGGCAGUGUCAAUCUCAAGAAAUUUUGCCUUUCUUUUCAAUCUACUGCAUGGUUGGUUUCUCACUAGUUGUUGUGACUUAAGAGGAGUCAUUGUUGUUAACAGACAUUUACACCAAUGAUUUUUGAGCUGAUAGGAGAUGAAGAAGAUUCUGAAGAAUCUACCUAUCAAGAUCCAUUCUCUCUGGAUUGUUUGCAUUCGGUGGUUACUCGAAUUAGAUGUUGCAAAACUACAUUGCUACCUAUCAUCUAGUACGGGAUUAGUAUGAUGUCCUUAGAAACAAUAUUGUAAUGCUGAAUUUACCUGACCCCCAGGUGACGCUAUUUAAUUAUUGUAGUUUUGGAGUGACAAUUAGUUAAGGAAAGUUGACAGAAUAAUUAAAAGGCAUCAAUCAUAAUCUAGGAGAUUUCUGAUAGAAUUGCAUCUUCAGUGAUAUGAACCAUUAACAUGAGUGUCUUUCUAUUUGAUUUUAACACUUGUCUAGGAUGAGAUUUCUUUAGAAAUUGGGAGUUUUUUGAUGACCAUUAAUUGAGGGGGAUGACAAGAUAGUGACGGUGUAAAAAGUAGUGGUAAGUCAUGGAGUACAUGUGCUAAAUGUCUUUGCCAUUGAUUAUAUAUGGUUUAAAUUUAAAUAGUGUUUUAUGUGGCUGCUUUUGUAGAUGUGUCAGAGUGACCAAAUUUUAUAGGUCAUGUAUAAACUUAGUGCACAUGCAACAAGCAUAUAAAAUACAUUUGCCUUCAAAUAUAUUUUUGGAUAGAUGUCAUGCAAUGUUUACGAUGAAUGGUUCAGUAGGUUGUCUAUGGCAUGUUGAGAUGCUUAAUGUGUCUCGCAUUUCCAAUAGAGGGUUUUGAUGCUGGUAAGCUAUCAACACUAGACAUGUGCCUUUGCAUGUGUAAGAAUUCAUUCCAUUUUUUCUGGUUUCAAGGAUUGCGUAUUGUGUGUAAAGAAACAACAGCUCACUACACAAGGUUCCUGUGCUGGAUCAAGAAGGGUCAAUGCGUAAGCAGAGAAAGGCUGUACAGGAUCCAAUUUGGCAUGGUAUCCCAUGCUUUUCUUGUUCGCAAACCUGUGGUUGUGUUAGGACUUGUCAUAUGGCUUAAUAUCUUCUUAAGAAGUGUAGGUAUCAGCCCGCAUGGUUCAGUUAUCAUUAGCUGUUACUUCAUUACAUGUUGGAAUAUAACUAUGUAUAAAAUAAGUGCUUCAGACUGUACUUGUGUAAUCAGUUUAAAUGAUGCAUCCUCUCUUUGUUUUCACUAAAGAGAGAUUCUUUUAAUUCUUAAGCCUGUUAUAAUGAAAGUAAUUUAUGAGAAUUAUCUAAAAGUAUGCAUUGGAGUAUACUGUUUUAUUUCUUUAUAUUCCUGUUGUUACUUUUAUGUGUCUUUUGCAUUAAAGUGUGCUUAAAAACAAACUUCAUUAUGAUCUAUCUCAGGUAUAUUCUCUCUAAAUUAUCGCUUUAGGAUAUAUACCUUUUAGAUACAUACCUUUUAAUUUCCUAGUAACUUCUAUAUUGUCAUUUUUGGUUAGCCUGGUGGAUUACGAAGAAUCAAGUUGCCAUGCAUAAAGACAGUGGCUCCAGUGACACUCCAAAUUAUUUGGGACGAAUUCGACAUCGUAAACGCCCUAGUGAGGUGGGUUGCUGCAUUGUUGAUGUUCUGUUUAACAAAUGUGGAUUCACUAAUAUUCUUUGGUUUUCAGAUGUACACAAGUUAAGAAGCUUAGGUUUUAAUUUUUUGAAAUGUCUGGUAGCGUACAUCACAAUAAUUGUUUUGAUGGAUUGAUAUGAUUGAUGCAUUUAAUUUAAUUUGUUUUAUGUCUUCCUAUAUUUCAUUUGUGGGGUUGCUGUGAACUUAAUGCAAAUCAGGUGUCGGAUGGAAUGAUAUGCAUAUUGCUAUGAGACUACCAUUUUCCGUAAAGAGAUACACAGCAAAUUGUUGUUGGGUGCAAUCUGUUGUUUUUGUCUUUGUCAAUUAAUCAAAUUUUCUUUGUUUACUGGAUGCAUAGUAUGAUGUUAUAUCAUUAUAGUUUUUAUGAAACAUUUAGAGAAUGUAAAUCUUUCUUUUCAGGUUUCUGCAGAUGCAAAUAAAGCAAAUGGAUCAAAAUUGCUUGUUAAUGACCGCAAUAAAUACAAAUCAAUGCUUAUUCGUACUUAUUCAUCAGUGUGGAUGAUAGGGGGCUUCACUUUUAUAAUCUAUAUGGGCCAUCUCUAUAUAUGGGCGUUGAUCGUCGUCAUCCAAAUUUUUAUGGCCAAGGAGCUUUUUAAUCUACUCAGAAGAGCCAAUGAAGAAAGACAGCUUCCAGGGUUUAGGCUGUUAAAUUGGUAUAUCUUGGGUCUCGUUUUGCUAUUUUUGCAGUUCCAUUGGUUUGAAUAGCUUCUGUUAAUUUUUUGUAAUUUUUCUUCAUUGGUAAAUGGAGACUUUGAGGUUGGCACUAAUGUGGUAUGAUUUUUUAUUUUUCACUUUGCAGGCAUUUUUUCUUCACUGCAGUGUUGUUUACUUACGGGCGCUUUCUUAGCCGGCAGCUUGUCAACACUGUGACUUCAGAUAAAUUGUUGUAUCAGCUUGUUAGCGGCCUUAUUAAAUAUCAGAUGUUUAUUUGCUAUUUCCUGUAUAUUGCAGGUUAUAUUUUCUUUUAGUUUUCACAAUGUUUGUCAUAUUAACAAGGCAUUUUCAUGUAAUAACAUUAUUAUGGCAUCUGCUUAUUAUGUGCUUUAUUGUGUUAAUAAUAUUAUGUGCUGUCUUUCUAUCUUUUUCCUUUUGAUUUAGUACAUACCCAAACAUACUAAUGGUGACCUAAGAUUUUUCCUAUUCCUCAGUAGAAUUUGACAUCUUAUUUUAUGGACAAGUGGACAAUGAUUACAAAAGUAGUAAACAAAUUCAUAAGCAAUAGAGUGAUAAGGAACACAAUCCAUUCCAUUUGUAGUGAAAAUAAAAACAAGAUGAUGUGCAAGAAGAGAGGGAUGUAGAAUUUUUAUCUUUUCUUUCCAAUGCAUAUAUUCUAAAGAUAAUUCCAGAUCUUUCAAGAAUAAGUUCAAUAUGAGACUUUGACUUUGAAGCCAAUUCUAGAUCGUAAAAAAGGCUGAAAACGUAAAAUUUGAAACUGAAAGUGUUUGUUAAAUUUUAUUACCCUUUCAAGAUUACUCCAAUGAAUUGUUCCUUUUUUUAAAUUUGAGAGUGGACGAUAGAAGACAAAGCAUCUCUGUUGCCAAUGAGUUGAUAGUUGGUCUUUUGCUGAAAUUAUGUAAAUAAUUUUAUAUCCUACAAUAACUAGUUUGAUAUGGUUAAUUUUGUUUUGUAAUUGGAAACCAUAUGAGAAAGUGUAACUUGUUAUCAUUUUGUUUCUGGUCUCAGUUGGAGAAACUGUUUUAACUCCCAUAGAUAGGAUUCCUCCUCUAUUCUUGAACCAGUGAUUUUGCAUCAAAUUCUUCUUUUUUCCAAUUUUGCAUGGAAUUUUGCAUGAAACUUAAAUCAUGUAGUACACCCAGUUAGUACCUCAUUGAUCUACAACUGGCCUCUCUUAAUUAGAAGCAUCACCUAUUAAUGCUAUCAUGCAAUUUAUUUCUUAUAAUGGGAGUGUUUUGUGACUCAAAAUUACUAUUAGAGGAAUGAUCAAUAUCAUUUCAUGUGGCAUAGGUUUUGUGUGGUUUAUUCUUACACUUAAGAAGAAGAUGUAUAAGUAUCAGUUCAGCCAAUAUGCGUGGACACACAUGAUUCUUCUAAUGGUAUUUGUGCAAUCUGCUUUCACCGUCGCAAACAUAUUCGAGGGUAUAUUUUGGUAAACUUCUAUUGAUCUUAUUCCAAUUUUCCAUUUAUGAGAAGUUGACUAUUGUCAAUGUCUUCUAGAGUAAUUUACUUUCAAAGGCAUGGCAUCUCUCUCUCUCUCUCUCUGAAAUAGUAUGACAUCGUUAUCAAAGUUUUUGGCAUUAUCAAAGUUUUUGGCUGUAUUGUUUAAAAAGCUUAGAUGAUUGUACUUAUUGUUUAUUUUGUUACUCCAUGGAUACUGAAUAGAAUGCUAAUAUGACUCAAUACACUUGAUCAUUUGGUACAUCAAAUCUUCACAGAAAAAAGAGUAUUUUUUCAGAUUUAUUAGCAUCUACACCCCAAUGGUCUUUGUACUGGAUGAGCAUCGGCACCCUGAAACAAGGGCCCUUGUUCAAUGCCCCUUCAAACUCUCUCUAUAUAUUUUAAAAAAAAAGGUUAAAAAUCUCCCUGCAUCUCAAUUUGCCAAAUUUCUGAAGGUUAAAAACUUCCCCCUCCCCUCUUUUCUUCUCUUUGUCCAUUGUUGGAGAUGUUGUGGUUCCUUUUAAGAUUGUUUUAUAUAUUCUCUUCCUUUUUCCUUUCACUUCCAUCAGUUCUCUUUCCUAACUAUGAAGAUGCGCCUAUAUAUGCCAAUGGCAUCUAUUAUGCCAGCCAUUAAUCAGCAUGGGAGUGCUUUAGAAAGACAUUCUUUUCUAAAAUAUAGGAUAAAUGCACCUUGAAACAGCAAUAAAAAUCUUUAGUUAUACCAUGGGAACUAUGCUUCUGUAACAUUGUUCGCCUUGCAUGCAACUAGGGCUGUUAUGCAACCCAGGCAUCAAUGAUAAAUUUUUUCUUCUCCUUUAGGAAUAUUCAAAUGAUUGAUUAUCUUCUCAUCCUGGGUAAUGACAGUGUCUCAUGUGCUAUACAUGUGCAGGCUUCUAGUACUUACUAGAAGUUAAUCUUUGGAACAUAGUGCUCUGGAGAUAGCAGAUAAUAAAAGAUGUAUCAAUUUCACUCUAUUAACAAUAAUUUGAUGCUUAAUAAUAAUGACAUAAAAAACAUCAAUUCCUCCUGAGAGAACCAUCAGGUAUCUCCAAGAUACAGUAUCCUGAUAAUAUCUGCUUUCUUAUUCAAACACAUUUCUUCAUUGUUACUUAUUUGAAGUAUUGAGAAGUGCUGCUAUCUGACACACCUGUUAUGUGUACAGAAAAGAAUAACUAUAACAACAAUCAUGUCCUAAGAUUAUAGAAUGAGUGUAUUAAAAUCACUUAUAUGAGUAUAGCAUCACUUAUCUGAAAAGAGAAUUCUAGUGCAAGAUAGAAAAUAUCAAAAAAUUUUCAGUUUCAAUUUCUUUGGACUUUUUUCAUCUCCAUGAUACAUUCAUAUGAAAGAACAAUGUGGACUAUAUGAUCUAUAUAUUUGAAUGGUAUCUUUUUAACUGCUCCAGGAACAGAGUAAUUGUAGUGUUCUCAAUUGUAUGUUUUGAAUUUUAGCUUAGAAUACCUCGUUUAUUAUUUCUAGCAUGCUUUUCAGAUUUCUUGUGAUUCAAAGUUUUAUGUUUGUAGUAAAACUAUGAAGGAUGAAUAUUGCCCCUUUACAGGUUUCUCUUACCAGCAUCACUUAUUAUUAUCAAUGACAUUGCUGCAUAUUUUUUUGGGUUCUUUUUUGGGAGAACACCAUUGAUCAAACUAUCUCCAAAGAAAACUUGGGAGGGUUUUAUUGGGGCAUCAAUCACGACAUUGAUCUCUGCCUUCAUGGUGAGCAUCAUCAACUUGUUUGUUGACUAUGCAUUAUACUUUUUAGUCUGUUUAUUUUCUUUUUAUUACAUAGGCAGUUUUUUUAGUUCAUAUAAGGCAGAUAAUGCAUCUAGGCUACUGUUGGAAAUGCGAGACCCAUAUAUGUAUAUAUGCAGACAAUGGGCUUUCAUGUCAUGAACUUUGUUAGUAACAUUCUUAAAUGUAUUUCUUUUUCUUUCUCUCUCUCAUGUUCAUUUUGGUGAUAUAUAUUUAUGAUGUACUGAUGUCUGAAUUAUAAAUGAAAGAAUAAAAACAGAUGAGAAGAGAUAAUAGCAAGAGGGACCUGCAAGAAGAAAUUUGAAGAAUAAGGGAGGAUAUUCUAAUGGAAAGAAAGGAAAAGAUAAGAGAAGAGGGAAGAUGCUCAUGUUGAUAGAUAGGCUUUGAGCAAAAUGAGAUGGAUUUCAUUGUUGCAAAGCAUCUUCAUUAAAGACUCAUCCACUCUUCUUAAGUCUCUUAUUAUACUAAAAAAUAAUUACUUCAAACCAUUAAAAUUUUGCCUACUAACAUGGCAUAACAAAUGAAUAAGCGAAGAACAUAUUUUCAACCCAAGUUAAACUUGUCUGGUGUUGGAAUUGAAACUAUAUUUUCUGGCACAUAAAUAUACAUGAAAGGCCUCUAAACCUUUCUCACUUUAGAAGGAAUAUUGUGAUAGAAAAAAUAGAAUUUUUAGAUGUUUGAACCUAUUAAGUAGCUCAGUAAUGUAAGAGAUCAAGCCAUUGAAUCUCUUGCUAUGUAUAUUUAAUGGCUGGCAUAUAGGAUCUUGUUCCAACUAGUGGUUUGUUGCCAUAGAAGAUAUGUUAGUAACAAUGCACACAUAAACAGACCAGCUGUCUUUGUUUGUAUUUAUCAUGAACAGUAUUUACAUAGAAUGAUGCAAAUGUUGGGCAUUUUAUUCAUCUAUUGAGAAGUUGGGAACUUCACACUUUCAACAUGUCAUGUGUUGCAACUAAAACAAUUAUACAGUUUUUUUCUUUUUCAGAAAGACCAAGAUUUGGUAAGAUUCAAUCAGGAUGAUAUCAUGGGACCAUUCUUUCUUGAUUGAAUUCUUGUUUUCCGAUUGUAAUAAUCAGUUGUUUAAAGUCGAAUAAAUAAAUUUUUGGAGUCUCGUUUUCUUUGAAUGUGUUAGCUACAAAGGAUGAUCAUAACGUACCUUAUCUAUACUACAUUCUAUCAAGUGUUUGCCAUGAAAAAAACUAAUUUUCUGGUUGGUUACAUUUUCAGUGCAUAUUCAGAAAUUCCUUUGUGUUUGGCAAUGAUUUAUUCAGCAUGGUAGAAGACAAGUUUUGUGAUGGAGGCUGAGACUUAGUAUAACAAUAAAGUUGCUUCCUUGCAACUUGGGAGAUCAGGGUCUGAGUCAUGGAAACCUCUUUAUAUUCAGAGAUAAGACUACAUACAUUGACCCUCUUAGAACUCGCAUUUGGUGGAAGUCUUGUGCAUUGGCCAUGCCUUUCUAAAAGCUUUUUAUAGAACAUGAACAGUAAUAUGUUGCCACACUGCAUUAUGAUUUUAUGAUACCAAAUUAUAUGUUUCCGAGGAAUUAUUAGUGGUCCUAUUGAAAAAUCUCUUCUUUUUUUUUUCCUAUCUCCAACAUUAGAUUGUCGAUGAUGAAACGAAUCUUACUAUCUAUGGUUAAGUAAAUUUCAUCAAUUGAUCAAGAAAAAUAUGAAACUACUGGUAAUAAUUUUUCACUGUUGUUAUUCAAAGCUCAUUUACAACUUUCACUCAAGGAUUCAAGUAAAACAUAGAAUGUUUUUAGUUUAUAUGUAUUAUUUAGGACAACUAAUUACUUUUUUAGGAACCUGAAGCCUAGUGAGGCAAUGUAAUUUGGUUUAAAACCCAAGUCUGAUACCAGUUUUGGCACCUUGACAGAUUGUGUACUAGCCACUGUAGAGUUAUAUGGUCCGUUUGUCGGCCCUUAUUCAGGUCGAUAAAUACCGAUUGAUAUGUAUGAUCGGCAUUGAAACCAUGCUUGUAAAUACACCUUUUUUUCAAAGAAAAAUUGAUAUUUAGGACUUGUAAUAUCAAAAUAGUAACAUUUUAAAAAUAUUUCAGAUGACACUAAUCAGUUAUAUGUUUUUCCGGUCUGAUCAACACAAUUUGUAUGAGCUUUUAACAAGGGUCUAAUUGUGACCAUUGAUUCAAGUCUUCUCUUGUUGGUAUUUGUCCUUACAAUUUUUCGUUGUUUGUUAUUUAAAUUUGUAAUAUUUGAAUGUGAGUUGUCAACGUAUGUGUAUAUGGAGGCUGAACCAACAGGGAUAGCUUUUGCAGAAAGCUACUGUUGAUUUUUGGUCAUUUAAUUUUCUUUAAUGUUAUUUUGCAGUUAGCAAAUAUAAUGGGCCAGUUCCAAUGGCUUACAUGUCCUAGAAAGGUAACUAACCCAAUACAAUUAUCCAAGCAAUUAUCAGCUUGAUUAUGAGCUAUAUGAUGCUUUUCCACUUUACUGACCAAAUGGACUAUUUGUAGGACUUAUCAACUGGAUGGCUGCAUUGUGAUCCUGGCACGUUGUUUAAACCAGAAUAUUUUUCAGUACCUAGAUGCAUGCAUCAGUGGGUAAAAACACUCAAAACUGCUGGGAUAUGCUUUUAUCUUUGAACUAGUGCAUUUAAUUUCACUCAUUUUUUUGCAGAAAAAUAAUUAUUUUAUGGCUCCUUAUUUAUCUUUUCUGCUCCCUUUUGUUGUUGGCCCAUGCAAAUUCUUGGCCUUCUUAGCAAAAGAAAAAAAAUCAUCUUGGCCUUCAAAAAUCAAUCUUCUUUGGUUUUCUUUGUAAAUUGCUAUAGUUUAUUCAACAAUCAAGAGAUUUAGACAUAAAUAGUUAUUUAAUUUCCGAAUAUAACAGAGAAUAAGGUCAUUUAUUAUCGUAUACCAAUCAUACCCAGUUGCAUCUCUUAUAAUAACCCUUGCCAGUACAUGAUUGAUUUAUUUGUUUAUUUGUUCAAUCCAAACUAAUUUAUGUGGUUGAUUGUGUGGUAAAGAGUAAUUGACCAAACCAGUUGUCAUGAUGACCUUUAGAAAUUACAUGUGUCUUUAAUCAUCUUUGAGAUUCCUGAUUAGUAUCUUGGAGAACUAUCAAUGCUAUGGUCAUAUCUAAUUGAAACAUGAAAUAGUUUCUAAAUUUUGAUCUUGUUGAUUUACUUGUUUUGUCGGUGUCUUUCUUCAUUUGAUUUGUUCAUGGAAGUAAUAUUUUUCUCGUUGUUGAGUUGUUUCAAUUUAUAUCUGACUUUUCCUUUUCUGCAGUUUCCUUGGAAAGAAGUAGCAAUUUUGCCUGUGCAGUGGCAUGCUUUAGCUCUUGGUCUGUUUGCAUCAAUCAUAGCACCAUUUGGAGGAUUCUUUGCAAGUGGUUUUAAACGCGCCUUCAAACUUAAGGUGAUAUAUUAGACAUUUACAUUUUGAGGACCCAGAAGACUUCUUGGUAAUAUUUAUUUUUUUCAAUUUCUAGGACUUCGGUGACAGCAUUCCUGGACAUGGUGGAAUUACUGACAGAAUGGAUUGCCAAGUAAGUUGCUGGUCCUUGACAUUAAACUUCAACUACUUACCCCAGCUAGUAUAACCUCCUGCCUGGAGUGCCUAGAGAAAUUACAUUCCUAUUAAACACUAACAUCACAUGUUGCAUUUCUCAAAUCCAGCCUAAGUAAAUACUAUAUUAACCAAUCAAAUUAGAUGGUCAUAUUCGAUGCAACUGUCGUUUAUGUGUUGCAUCAGUUUUGAAAUAUAUGUUUUAUUAAGUUUGAGCUAAGUUUACCAGUCAUACGAUGCAAGCUUCUAGUUUUAUAUGACAAAGCAUAAUCCAGCCCCAUACGUAACCCAUCAAUCAAUGACCCAAACAUGAAGUGGUUUGGACACACAAAGCUGGUUUUUGCUCAUUUAAGCUGUUUGAUUUACAUUGAAGUUAAAUAUUAAGUAUGGUGUUAACCUUCUUGUCUUGCAAUACUCUCAUGUGUAAGUAUUAAGUUUUUGUGCUUAAAAAAUAUGCAUGAUAUGGUUCAUUUGAAUUUUAUUUUGUUUGGUUUUCUAUUGUUUAUUCAAGAUAGUAUUAGUGGCUUUUAUUCAUCGCAGAACUCUUAUAUGCUCUUGACUCAAGAUAUAUUUCACUGCUUUAAGAAUUUGACAUCAAAUAUUAAGUUACUUGGCAAAUUCAGGAGCUGAGAAUAAUAAGAUUCUAAGAAAUAGAGUUUCAGUUCUUUCUUCAAAUGUUAAUAAGGAACAUGCUAUACUUAAUAUUGCUCAUGUAGGCAGAAGUGCCAACCUGUGACUUGAAUCAUCAAUUUUUCUUGAAUUGUGACACUGAGUUGGUGCCCGUAAUUAUAACUACUCCAGGUUGCCAUAAUACGAAUAAGUUCUUAUGUUUCCUUUUGUUGCAGAUGGUCAUGGCCGUUUUUGCAUACAUAUACCAUCAAUCAUUUGUCAUGCCUCAAAGUUUGUCAGUUGAGAUGAUUUUGGAGCAGGUAUGGUGUUUCCAUGAAUUCCUUCCUUUGCUCACACCUUGGUAUGCUAUUCCAAAUGUUUUGAACAUCAUGCAGAUAUUAAGGAACCUUACCUUUGAGGAGCAACAGUUUCUAUAUGAGCAACUUGGGAAUAUCUUUCAAGCCAGGCAACUGUUGCAAGCCUAGUUUCUUCGUGUAAUUAUUGCCUAUGUUUUAUGUACAUUAUGUUGCCUAUUGCUGCUUCUUAAGAUUGUCUUAGAAUCGUGCAUAGCCCUUUUUAAAUUACAUCUUAACAAUCUUCUGCUCAAAAGCUUGAUAUAGUCUUGAGCUUCUCAUGCAUCCUUUGCAAGUUAUUCACUCUCUUUCCAUGUUACUAACACUAUUCUAUUUGAAAUUGAUAACCUAGGAUGGCCAGACUCCAGAAUCAUUAUAUAUUUGGCACCAUCUUAUGAUACACCAUUGAACGGAUGGAACUCGUGAAACUGUUGAUCUUUGAAACUGCUUGUAAAUAGUUUUUGCACCAUAUUAGCUUGCAGCAUGACUGCAACUGGAUCAGGUCCAGCACCGCGGAAACAUACUAUAUCUUCUUGCAUGUGUUUGUCCAGGUUGGAGUAAGCUGGUGUCAUGCAUCUAUAUAAAGUUGAGGAUUAGAUGUACCGAGAAUCAUUGAUCUAGAAUCUCAUACAUUGAAGUAUAUUUUGGUAAUGCACUGAAAUGAUUAGAAAACAAUGAGGAUUGAAUGCUAAAACGUCAUUUUCUGGAGGAUGAGCACUUUUUUGCUGAUGAUGUUGUACCUAUUUUACUCUUUUAUGCAAACCCUUUCUGGAUGUAUGUUUAUUAUGCUUCUUUCUCCCUUGGGAAUGAUAUAAACACAUAGGUCUGAGGUAUUGUGGCUUUAAUUUGUUACAAAAUUUAAUGGAACAAACAAAUCAGAUGAUUUUGGAUUCUCUAAGUGUACAAAAAUUCAUCAUGGGAGCAUCAUGUUUAUGGAUUAUCUAUAUCACCUUAGAUGAGUUAUAGUUUUGUCGUUUGUUUUCCUUCAAAGUUUGCAACAGUUUUCUCUUCAUGCGUAUACUUGUGAUUUGCAUAUUCUUCUCCGGGAUUUCCAAUCCCAAGAUUCGAACCCACACGAUCUUUAACGGUACUGCAUUUCUAUUAGUCACCUGUAUGUCUUUAUAGGCUUUGUUAGAUCGCGUUAAAUGCAUUCAAGAUUUUAUGAGCAAUUUAAGGAAUUUAAUAUCAUAAUUCAUAAGCUUCAAAAUCCUUAUGGGACCUGCGAAGUAAAAUUUGAUUAGCACUAUUUUUUCGUUUACAUUCAUUUGCUGAUCUUGUGAUGAGGCUUCCUAUUUAUCUGUAUGAUUUCAUCCUUGCAAUCGGCUAUUACAGUGAUGAUUUGGACGCAUGUCACAUCAGCUAUGAGUCGGCGUGUUUGGUACGUGGAAUUUUCUUCCUUUUUCAGUUUCGGUGAACCCUCUCUCGAGCGCGACACCCAAGUCAUCACCACACGCCUAACGACACGUAUAAUGUCACAAAUCAUUGGCUCCUCCAUCUUCCGCUGCGGCGCGUCCAACAGCCUCCGCCAAGAUUCAUUCUCUCCUUUCGGUCAAGCGGGACCCUCCAAGUGCCACGUCAGCAAUCGAACCCCUUUUCUGGGUCGAAUCCGACAGCCACUAGCGGAGUCCAGAUCGACAAUUUGUGUGCUUCUUUUUGACGUGGGUCCCCCCGCCCUUGAAGCCAGCUGCCGUCGUCGUUUCGACACGGCACCAAUCGAGCCCGAUCGCUGUCUGGAGUCGGACAGCUAAAACCCACGGAGCAUUUGGCUUGAUGAUUUUAAUGAUCUAGUUGGUGUUGAUGGACGUCGGUGGUGACAGACGACGAUGCCACCGGCGAUCAUGGGUAACCACCUUCAUGCACCUUGGCGAGCACCCUCUCAGUCUCUUGGGAUCUUAGACAUAUGAGGAGUGAUUGACUAAAGGAUUUGCGUUAUAGAGGAUCAUUAAUUAUGUAUACUUGAUAAUGCUUAACUCUUUAGGCCACGGUGGGGUCAAUCUACAGUGUCUUAUCUCUCUUAUAGUGUAGGAUCUCAUCCUUCCAACUCGAUUAUUCUUUUAUUGUAGACAUAUUAUUCUUCUUAAUGGUUUGGGUCGGUAGUAUCUCGGCUAACAACCAGCUCUCUCUCGGAGCUCCGGUGGAUACUAACAUGACGAAUGCAUCAGCUUGGGCAUUUUCUACGUGAGAGACUCUUAACACAUUGAGUCGGGAGAAACUGUAAGCUACCUCCUGCACUUCGAUGAGGUACUUUGUCAUGAUCGCAUCUCGAGCCUCAUAGCUGUUAGAAUCAAGAGCACUAAGAGAGGGGGGUGAAUUAGUUCAACGGAAAACUUUCGACGAUUUUAAACGACGUUUGUACGAUAAAGACGAUUUCGGUAAGAAAGCCGAUUCAAAAAUCACUUUAACUUGUGAUUAAGCGAGAUGCAGUUAAAGUAAAGAUAUGGAGGUAGUUUGUAGUUAAGAUAGAGAACAAAAUGUAAUUGCAAACCGAAAUACGACGUUCGUACGAUAAAAGCGAUUUCGGUAUGAAAGACGAUUCGGAAAUUGCUUUAAGUUAGAUUAGGCGAAGUGCAGUUAAAAUAAAGCUAUGGAGGCAAUUUGCAGUUAAGAUAGAGAACAGAAAGUAAAUGCAAACCGAGAUUUAGAGUGGUUCGGUCAAUCUUGACCUACACCCACUUUUGGCUUCCUCUUCCGAUGAGGUCACCGACGUCCACUAGAGGCCUUCCUUCAAUAGGAGAAGGCCAACCACCCUUUUACAGUUUCACUUCUUUUGACAAGCUUAGGAGACAACCCUUAUAGAAUUUUCUCUCCUCUCUUGAAAGAUCAAAACUUGGAAGAAAAGAGGGAGGAUAACUUUUAGCUGAUACAACACUUUUGAGCUCUAAAAACCACAGAGUAAGAUUCGAUUUUCGGUGCCCUUUCAUUGCUGAAAGGGUGGGGUAUUUAUAGGCCCCAAACAGAUUUGAAUUGAAGCUCAAAACUGUCAUCUCCUGGAAUUCUGGGGUCUGGCGGUACCACCGCCUAGCAGAGCUCGGAGACUGAGCCCCUGGGCGGUGCCACCGCCUGGUAGAGCUCGGAGACCGAGCCCCUGGGCAGUGUCACUACCUAACAGGGGCAGUUCCGCCGCCUGACAGAGCUUGGAGACCGAGCUCAAGCGGUACCACCACCUGACCUGGGCGGUUCCACCGCCCAACUUUCCUGGGAGGCUGAGCUCCUGGGCAGUGCCACCGCCGGCCAGGAAAUCUGGGUCUGAAUGGGUUGAUCCAUUCGGCCCAAAUUGGGUCUAUCAAGGGCCCAAUUGCCCCAAGAUUAAGUUAAUGGGAUCACCUCCCAUUUCUAACUUAAUUAUCAUGCUAACUAUGAUAUUUUUAAGACAUUUACUACGGCUUACUCUGGUGCGUCAAUCGCUUCUUCCGGCGAACUUCCGAUGAUCAUCCAACGAACCUUCGGCGAUGCUCCUGCGGACUUCCGGCAAACUCCUGGACUUGCGAUGAUCUACUUGGCGAGUUUCGACGAGCUUCUUUGGUAAGCUCUUGGACUUCUCGGAUUUGUUCCCGCAGAACCUCCGACGACCAUUCGGACUUCCGUCAAACUCUCAAACUCCCAACGUGAUCAUAGUCUUGACUCCGGCGCAACUCCUGCUGCAUGUCUUAUUUUCAUCGUAAUUAAUCUUGUACACUUAUCACAAAACUUCGAUCAAGACAAUUAAUCAUAAGCAAUUAAUCAAGUUGUCUGGCAUGUCAUUGGUCCCUCGACGCUUCAUCCGAUUCUUCGGCGCAUCGUCCUCUCUUGCGGCCUAUUGCCCAAUCAUCUAUUUGACUUCGCAACUCCGAUAUCCUUGGCACAAUCUCCGCUCUUCUUGGCCCGAUACCCGAAUCCACGGCCCGAACCUUUCUGUCGAUACGUUGACCGAUCUACCGGCCCAACGUCCAAUGUUCCUCCGACCAACAUGAUUUUCCUACUUUAAUUGUCUCAUCCUGAUUGAAGCAUCCUGCAUCACUCAAAACACAGAUUAAAUCAUAAACAUAUAUCCAGUGGUUUCAUCAUCAAAAUACGAGAUUCAAUAGUAGCUCCCCUUCACCUGGCUCAUGACUAGUUGUGAGUCACUAAACACCGUUUAGUCUUAGACUUGAAGCUCUCGAGCGAGCGAGAGCCUUGAACUAGCAUAUUAUAGCUACUCUUGUCACAUGUAUCAUCACUCAUAUGAUUGGCUUGCACGACACUUAUAAUAUACAGAUUGUAGCUACUCUUGUCUCAGCCUUUUGCAUGUCUCCUCAUGCUUGGCUGAGACUAUUACCUCAACAGUAAUAUAUUGAUUGGCUCUCUAGGGUACCUUGAGUACUGUCGCUAGUGGCCUCUUUACUAACGACCACAAAAGACGAGAGAGCUUGAGUCUCAUCAUAAAGGCCUAUAUUAUGAGUAACGAAUAAGCAUCUUGCAUGCUUCGGAUUUCAUUGGUGAACUGAGCGACGAAGUUUGAGAGGGUUUCCUCCUCCCCUUGCCAAAAUCCAAGAAGCAUUACCACCGAUGGCCUUAAGCGAAUAUACCCAAGCAAGUGAAACUCAAACUCUCUUACAAGCUAAGCAAAAAAACUGAUAGAGAGCAAAUUCAGACAGGCAUACCAUUCUUGUGUUGAGCCUCGUAAUGUGGUCGGGAAGGUGUGACAUAUUAGGGUGUUUGAAGUAUUGUGCAAUAACAUUUGGGUACAGAAAGCAGUGACGUGCUCCAAUGGGUCAAUACCACUAUCAAAGGCCUCCAAUGAUGGAAAAUGAAAGUUGGUCGGGAUCGGCUCCUCUUAAAUGUCUUGGGUGAAUGACGACCAACCUGAUGUGGGGUUAAUCAGCCCUUCCCUUUUAGAUUGUUGGAAUUCUCAUAAUAUCUCUUCCGGUCCAUUUAUUGUAGCUGGAUCCUCAUAAAAUCAUCCGUUGAAUUUACCGAUUGAGUCUAGGAUUUGGUGGAGUAGAGUUAUGGUAUGGCAGUCUAUUGAACUCCACAGAUGGGGAGUGGGUUGCUCCCUCAGUUGUGGUUCAAUGGGCCAAUGGCAAUUGAGCUAUUAAUCGCGACGGCUAUGGUUCAAUGGGCCAAUGGCAAUUGACGUCACCUAUUAGGUUUGUUGGGGCAAGAGUGGAGCGAUGGCUUGUAUCAUGCUUGUUAGCGUCUACACCAAUUGGGUGAGGUUAAAAAACACCUUAAUAGGGAUGAGUAUGUGGCUCGGGGUCACCCCCGAGGAUAAGAGGCCUGAGUCAUUGAAUAAUGCUAGUAUCGUGUCGAUAUUUGCGUCAAGAUGGACGCAUUCACAUGUGGAAAGGGUGGGUGCUAUCCCCUUGAGUGAAAGUACUAUAGGUCAGGGGCAGAGCCUUCUCUCUGAGACGUUCUUUGAGAGGGUUAGUAGGUAGACAUUCUUAUGACAUUUGGCCUUCCUAACACCAAAAUCAUCAUAAGGAAAAAUAUAGUCCGAACUAGUAUACAUAAGAUUGCCUGAGAUGCCUCUGAGGUAAAAACAUCAAGCUCUCGAAGUAUCACUCGCACGAAGAUCGAGAUCGAGAGAGGUUUCCCGAUACGAUCCCUCCAAUACUUAAGUUAGUAACCCUAAAUUUUCAAGUGCAAACAUAAGUGAUAAAAAAAGGUCAAUCCCAACUUUUUAUUAUGUUAAGAAUAUGUUUUUAUACACGAUCACUUGGAUUCUACCUAACAAUUGUACGUCGUAGUCAAUGAAACGAAAAGUUGAUAGUAAAACAUAAAAACAGUAAUAUUUCUCUUAACACCGAUAAGCCCUUGUAAUUUUUCUUCCGCCCCGACAAAUCGCCCACUGCUUCGAACGUUUUUAUCACUUCACAAAAGUUAUGAACAGCCUUCAAGACUCCCGCUGCAAAGAACGAUAUACUACUGCUACUACUACUACAUGUCAGGGAGACAGCAUCACGUUAUUCAGCAGCCUUCCCUCUUUCUCUUUUCCCUUUGGACAUUUUAUUAGAUGUUCAGAAAUUUACUACAAUAUCUCUAAAAAAAGACCAAUCACAAAGAACCAAAAAGCCCUAUCACCUCUUGUUCACUUCUCACUUCUUAAAUCACUGGAUACGAUCAUGUUCUGAAAUGAAAGAAACAGCCCCAGAUUACACCAAUUAAGGAAGAAAAAAAAACACUGAGAAAGAAACCCAAAAUGGGCCGACAAAAAUUUGACGGUCACCACCAACUCCUUAAUAUCAGAACGACGCAGACGUCCCCCUCCUGCAGUGGGGAACCAAUUAGAAGAUAGAAUGUUGGACCAACAGAACACAAGAGAGAUCAUCCCCUAACUACAUUAAUCCUACACGUUGCAGAGACCUAUUAAAUCAUAUUCCUAAAUAAGGGGAGGAACAAUGUCAAGUUGUUUGGGAACCGUCAAUGAUCCUAAUCCCAAGCACUUGUCACCCCAGCACUCCCGUAGCCACCACUCCCAUAACCUGAAGACGCACCAUAUGAUCCUCCUCCGUAUCCACCGCCCCCGCUGUAGUAAUCUCCUCCCCCGCCCCUGCUGAAGGCAGAAUCUCUCCUGAAAUCACGACCACCAAAGCGAGGCCCACCAGAUCUCCGGUUUCUGCCACCGCCGCCGCCCCCGUGAGAACGAGCUGCAGCAUAGCGGGAGAGCCACUGUGGCACCUCCUGGUUUGCUUCCUGCAUAAGCUCAGACAACGACCUCGCCAGGGAUGCAUUGCUCUCAUUGAAAAAAGCAGUCGCCAGACCUGAAUUCCCAGCUCUGCCUGUCCUUCCAAUACGGUGUACAUAGUCAUCAAUAUCAUUGGGUAGGUCAAAAUUGAUGACAUGUGCCACAUGCGGAAUAUCUAACCCACGGGCUGCAACAUCUGUUGCAACAAGAAUAGGAGUUGCACCACUCUUGAAAGUUCGCAGAGCAUGCUCUCUUUCCUGCAAAUAAAUAAAUGACAUGAUAUGUCAACAGAAUGCUUUCUGAAACACAAAGCUAGCAUGUUUUCUCAAGGGAACAACAUGCCGUACAUUUGCAGAAAAGCAAUCAAAUAAAACUCCAUACGGAGAGCACUGUCGGCCAUCCCAUAUGAGAGAACCGGUUCAUGCCAAUUGUCAGGUCUCAUUUUUCGCACGUUUUAAGUUGGGCAUCUUACAGACAUGUCAUAACAGCCAUCAACCCACCACCAUAGUUAACCAAAUUAAUGGCAGUAUGACAACUGCAAGAGUAACAACAAUGCAUAAUCUCCUCUUUUUUUUCAAGAAAGUAGUCGGCUUUAAUUACUGAGGAUAAGAACUACAUAAUGACCUUAGUUUUGUUCAGCAAUAUAUAAUGUCCUUUGUUUUGUUCAACAAUACAUAAUGUCUUUGCCCUUAGUUUUGUUCACCAUCAGUUUCAGACGUUAGGAUAUUCAAUAUGGAUUUUUGCUGCAUCAUUGACCACUGUUAGAGAUUUAGCUGGAGUUGCAAAAUCAAAACUAAACAGAACUCAAAAGUGGGAAUCUUCAAUUUGGAUUUCUUUUCAUCAUUGAACCAGUGUCAGAUAUUUAUCUAGAAUCUCAAAGUCCAAAUAUACACACAUGAUCACAUGAGAACUAAGACAAUGGUUGUCAUAAGCAUUAGUUCACAAUAAUUGUAUGGGGAUUGAUUGACGAAGAUAAAAUCAGGAUGAGCAGGAACAAUCAGACUGCUUUGGUGGGAAAGUAAUUAGACAAAUAUAGUUUAUGAAAAAAAUUCAUAAUGUUAAUGCAUAAAAUAAAUUUUGAUAUAAAUAAAAAAUCAAAUGCAAAAUUUUUUACCUAUAGUCCCUAGUUGUUAAUAAAACAAAGACAAAAGAUAAAAGAUUAAAAUUUGCAUAAGAGAUAAAGAAUGAAAAGUAGUAGAAUAUAUCAUUAAGAAUAACUACAAUGCUUUAAUUACAAAUCACAGAAUAAUUAUUAUACAUGUGAUGCGAAAGACCCAAAACCUAUCAACAUGCAGCUUCAAAGAGAAUGAUGAACCUUAUAAUUUCCUUAAUGUUUCUCUAAUCACAAUGAUGAACUUUCUUUGAAGAUUAUGCCUAUGAGAUUUAAGAUAAAUCAUUAGUUCCAUGGCAUCUAAUUAAAAGAUAAUGCCUUAUAAGGCUAAAGACUUCUUGAUCUUCCCCUUUCAUCUUCCAGUGUUAUUUCCAGUCUAUCUUUCAUGGCAGACAAUGAAUAUUUAAACAAUGAUGACAAACAACAAAUGCAACAAAUGCAACGGUCUCAAGAGGGUGGAGAGGUUAAUCAUAAACUAAAAUAUUGGAGUUUUAAGUAAUCAUCAUGUGCCUUUAUAUUAUAAAAAAUUAUAAGACAAUUGUUUAGGUUAGUCAUGCACCAUGAGUCCAAGCAUUGGAUGGUUAAGAAACAAUAAACAGACAAUUUUGUGCAUCUGAGAAACAAAUGUUAAGAUGAACGCAUGAAAUUAGAAAAGAUAUAAAAGUGUAUCCGUGAACAUGUAAGUGCAGCCACAUUGGAAAUAAUGAGAGGAGUAUUUUAAGAUGAUAGUUCAUGUUCAAAUGAAAACUACAGAUGUUGUGAUUAAAUGAGGUGAGUUGAUUGGUUUUUGUGGUGUGAGAUAAAGCAAAUCUCAAAAGACUAGAAAUAAUUAAAAACAGAUUCAAUGCUCUUGAUAUUUCUACAAAUAUUGUCAUGUGCAAAGACGAAUGGAAGGAAAAAAUUAUGUAGCCUAACCCCAUAUACUUAUACUUAAGACAUUAGAGCAUGUUGUUCAUAUCAAAUCUGUCUAUAUAGACCAAGAGGUAAAUCCUUCCAGCUGAUACUAGCAACAAAUAUGCUUAUGCGUGAACAUGCACUAGCUAACCAUUGUCACCUUCAUAUUGAACAAGAAAGUUAUGCCUGAUAAAUAUAGUGUUGCCAAGAAAAAGUCAGUCAUCCUUUUUUUCUAAUACUAGAAGAUAAAAUUACAGGACAAAAAGGACGGAUCAUGUUCUUUAGUAUUCAGCACAAUACUACACACUGUGGAAAAACAGAAGGUCCAAGCAAGAUGGGAAAAAGAAGAUGCUUAUGAAAUCCUAGACAUAAAAGAAAACAAGUUGCCAGAGUGCUUUGGAACUAACAAUACAAAAAAACCAUGAUUAUUCGAGUACUACUAAAUUUACCAACCUGCUGACUCCUAUCCCCAUGAAUAGUGGUUGCAGGAAACCCAUUCAUACACAGCCAGUGUUCCAAUGAAUCAGCUCCUCUUUUUGUCUCCACAAAGACCAAAGUUAAAGCUUGCUGCAUAGUUUUAAAAAAAAAUCAGUCACUUACAGAACCAACAGAACAUCACCAAUACAAUGAGACACACAAGAAAAUAGAAGUAUAUACACACUUUAAAUUGACAGGACACAAUGUUCAAGAACAACACAAAAACACAGUAAAUAGGUUGAGCCUUACUUUUCCAUGAGCACCACUAUCUCUUUGGGCAUGAAGAAGGUCCAUAAGGUGGCUUCUUUUGUCUGAAUCAAGUACAAACUCCACUCUCUGAACAAUCAAAUCAGUACUAGAACCAACUCUUCCAACAGCAAGAAAGAUGUAACUAUAAAGGAAGUCAGAAGCCAAUCUCUGCAUGAUUUAACUUUAAAUAUCAACAAUUGCUUAAAGUAAAAUGCGGGAAAACCAUAUGAAAAUACAGGCCAAUAAGAAACAGAUAAGCAUGCCAUUAUAAAAAUAUUCAAUAUCUCAAUAAUUGAUAAAAGGAGCAGCAAAAAACAAGAUAUAUAUAUCAACAGAAAAGACAUGAGAAGACUGAAAAUAGCUUAGGUAAACAAACCAAUGACCGAUAAACAAAGAGACCAAAAACAAACCAAUCAAAUUAGUACUGAAUCUUCAACAAUUUCCAAUCCCAUUCAUCAAGGAACUGUUUACAUAUAUAUUAUUCUACUCAAAAAAUUAUCCUAGUAUACCAUCAUUAAUAAUAUUAACAGUUCUUGUGGAAAACAAUAACUUAUUCCUUUCUCCCUCAGCAUUGUCCACAAAGCUAGUUACUAAACCAUUAUUCUGUUCUUUGAGCUUAUAUACAACUCAUCUAACAAUGACGACCACCAUCAAUACUUAUAUACAAUAUUCAACGCAGUAUUUAAACCAGUGUAACACUUAAUACACCACAUAUAUAGAACCAAAACCAUAAUAACUAUAAUCAAUAAAUUUCUCUGAGAAUAAGAGUUUGCAAUUAUGAAGAAUCAUGCAAGACAUAGACAACGCAAGUAACAGAUAUCUGGAAAGGAAAAUAUAAAAUCAAAUCAAGAAAAAAUACUUGGAAAUAUAAAAAAACACUCGCCAAACUUCAAAAUAAUCACCCAGUAUAACAAGAAAGCAGUCAUAAUGACAUGUAGAAGAUUGCCACAAUGUUUAUAAAAGCAUACUAUGCACCACAAUCAGUUAUCGAACAAAAGGUCUUUCAACAAUGAGGUUAACUAGCCUGUAUCUCCUUUGGAAAUGUUGCACUGAACAGCAUAGUCUGCCUUUGGCCUCGUGAAGGCAUGUCCAUUUGUUCAACAAUUCUUCGAAUUUGUGGCUCAAAACCCAUGUCAAGCAUUCUGUCAGCCUCAUCUAAGGCCAAGUAUUUAAUGUGUUGCAAUGAAACUCUAGCUCUCUCAAGCAUAUCUACUAGACGACCAGGAGUUGCCACAAGAAUGUCAACACCCCUUUCCAAGUCUCGCAACUGCAAAUAUGGAUCAUCAAUAAAAUAAGCAUAACACUAGAAACAAGAGAGAGAAUGACACAAAAUAACAAAUUCCAACAUUUAAUUCCCUUUGUUACUCUGCAAUAUUUGAAUGUACUGAAACAAGGAAACUGACUUCAGAGAUACAAGAUAGUUGGAUAAAUAAGGUUUUAAGAAUUGUCAUCCAAUAACGUACAUUAAUGCACAAUCAUGGAUGAGUUAAAGCUACAUUUUGGCAUGACACCAAAAAGAAAAAACAUUAUUUAAUCCACAAUUAACAACUUUUGGGAAGUUCCUUUCAUCUUGUUCAAUCAGAUAAUUAUUCAAAAAAUUAAGAAUUAACAAUCAUAAAAAUUAACAAGAUAACAUGAAUAAUAAAAAAAUCAGCCAUUUGAUUCUUCCUUCUACUUAUUUCUCGUUCUUCUUACUGUCUUCUCCUUAAUCUCUCCUAUCCAUUUUUCUUCUCAGUACGUUCAUUUUUCUUCCUAAUGUGAGUACUCAGGUCUCUAAUUAAGCCUAAAGCCUUCAUUUAUGUUGUUCAAAGCUUUCACAUAUAAUUCUUCUGAACUUCUCCAUUCAACUUCUCUUUACCUAAUUUUAUCCCUAAAACUUUCUUCCAAUUUGUCCCAAACAAAAAAAAACCACUUAUUAAAGUUCAUCCAUCCCUCUUACUUCUUUCUAGGUGGCUUUUCUGUUUCAUAUUCGAUGACUUAUAUCUGGAGAUUUGUUAUUCUCCAUUCAACUUCUUUAUUUUACCCAUUNNNNNNNNNNNNNNNNNNNNNNNNNNNNNNNNNNNNNNNNNNNNNNNNNNNNNNNNNNNNNNNNNNNNNNNNNNNNNNNNNNNNNNNNNNNNNNNNNNNNNNNNNNNNNNNNNNNNNNNNNNNNNNNNNNNNNNNNNNNNNNNGGAUCGAUGACUUAUAUCUGGAGAUUUGUUAUUCCCCAUUCAACUUCUCUUUACCUAAUUUUAUCCCUAAAACUUUCUUCCAAUUUGUCUCAAACAAAAAAAAACCACUUAUUAAAGUUCAUCCAUCCCUCUUACUUCUUUCUAGGUGGCUUUUCUGUUUCAUAUCCAAUGACUUAUAUCUGUAGAUUUGUUAUUCUCCAUUCAACUUCUUUAUUUUACCCAUUGCCAGGGGGCUUAUAGGUCCUACUAAGGAACCUGUCUGGCGAACAAAAAGUCGAGCAAUUACAAGGGGACUCAUGGAUACAAAUAAGUUCUGCCUUGCUCAGAUGGCUUCAUUCAAAUGAUCACUACGAUAUACUACUCAAUGAACAAUUUGAAAAAAUAUACAGCCAACAACACUUUGUUAGAGACAAUACCACAAUGAUCCGUUCCAGAAAUAAAAUGUCAACCACCAAACAGAGUUCUUGUUGAUAGCACAAACAUACUGCUUCUGCACUAAGAAUCUCAUUCUGUCACGUUUAGACAUAAUAUAUGCAGGAUAUUUAGAUGUUUCUUAAUAACAUAUCUAUAAGCCAUAGUGCUACAUUUCGCCUGGACCAUUACAAUGACCUGUCGGGUUGGCAGCAUUAAGCAUAGACAUGCCUCACAAUACCAUAUAUACUUAGAUUUUAAAAGAAGUUCCAGGACACGUUCCAGCAUGCCAUGUGUUGAAACGCCAACACUUGUGAGAUCCAUACCAGUCUAGCCAAAAACCAGCAUGGUCCGCAUAGCUGAAAGCCUAAAACGUCGAACCAUGCUAUAAACGGAUAUACGAAUAUCUACAUACAACAAACAAGUCAAGAUUCAGAAGAAAAGGUCCAGCAUCAACAGCUUGUCUCAAGCAAGUAUCCACUCUCAUCUUUCCAAAACAACUACCCAAUGUAUGCAGAAAUGGAGGUUAACAGAGGAAAAAAAACAAAACAACAGCAAGCAAAGAUCUAUGUCUAUUGCUAAAUGAUUGCUAUAACCAUGAUUCACCCAUGUUAUCCAGUCAAUAAGAGAGCUAUACUACAGUAGUUUCACCAAAUAUAAGAAAUUUAUUUCAUAAUUAAUAUCAUUUUGUUAUGUGAAAUUAUUAUACUUUGCAAUGUUCAGACCAAAUCUUCAGCUGUUUCUAGUGUCUUCAGAAAUAUUUCAACAAACAGACAAGCUUCUCCACUAAAGAUCAGAAUUUAUAAUUAACAUAGUAGAGUCAAAGUUGUACUAACAUGGGUUUAUAAGAUUGGCAUUACAAGUAUUUUUGUUCCUUGAUACCAAAGAAUGAAGGAAUUUUAUUUGUUCAUACUCCAACUCCGACUACAUCAACAGAAAUGAAAGGAUCAUAACAAAUUUCACAACUGAGUACAUUUUCCUCUUUUUUCCCCUGCUAACUAUCCCAGAACAAGAAAGCUUUUUGAGAUUAUAAUUAGUGGUGAUCCUCAAGUGCAGAAUUUUGUCAAUUUGAUUAAUUGGCCCAAAAGAAUCAGUAAGUUAUCCAAAUUUCUUCUGAAAUAUCACAUCCUAGUUUCUUUCACUCCUUCCAACAAUGGCCUCAAGUAUAUGCAUCUCAAUUACAAAAAUUUACAUAUAGACAAAAACAGGAUGAGCCACAUGUUAAUAUACAAUUAAUAAAACCUGGGGAUGAUAAUGAUUAGAUGUUGCAACAGAAUGCCACAAGUUACAUCCUGCUAAAAUCAACUCAAAGUAAAUCUUCACGAACAGUAUGAAAAGCAAACCUGUUGAUUAAUUGGAGCACCACCAUAGGCAACGACAACCCUGACACCAGUCUGGUAAGCAAACUUCCUAGCCUCUUCAUGUAUCUAAGUUACCAAAACAGAAUCCAACAAAAUAAAAGGUGAGGCAGAUGAACAAGGAAAAUAAUACUCAUAGAAAACAGUAUUCCCUGUAAAAUUACUGAAGAAAAACCAAAUUAUACAGCAUACCUGAACAGAAAGCUCGCGGGUAGGUGAUAAAAUCAGUGCGAGUGGGUAAGAAGUCCUUGAGCCUCUUUGCCUUGGUCCAGGUGGUCCACUCAUGAUACCACUUAUAAUCGGAAAGCAGAAAGCUGCUGUCUUUCCCGACCCUGUCUGAGCACAGGCCAUCAGGUCCCGCCCAGCAAGUGAAAUUGGGAUCGCAUGUCGCUGGACCGGGGUUGGCUUCACAUACUUGCACCGUCUAAUGUUCUCAUUCAGUGCAUCGCCCAAAUCAAUCUCUGCAAAUGUGUUCACCGGUGGAGGCACAUUCUCGCCGCUCGUCUCAACAGGUAUGUCCUCGUAGGCAUCAAAGUUGAUCCCAGAAUUUUCUUGGCUACUGAACGUAGCUUCUGUGGUCUCAUCAUCGUUCGCAAAAGGAUUCACCUCACGGUCCCUCCGGGAGUGCCAACCGCCCUGUCCACCUCUCCCACCACCAGAGAUGGGGCGACCCACGUCACGGAUGGGGCCACUGCCCCAGCGGCUUGCACCAGCUGGCGCGGCACCAGCAGGCGGCUGUCUAGCACCCGACGGACCAUCGGCGAGGGUCGGCGCCAGAGGCUCAGAAGACGGCUGGCGGUUCCGUAGAUGAGGAGGAACGUAGGCGGGGCGACCACCGCGGGAGGGGGCCGCCGCGACAGACGAAACGUUACUAGGAGAGGCACUGGUCGCGGCCGCCGAGAUCUCGGCGUUCGCGACUGCAUCAGCCCAUGAAGAUCGCAUAACUCGGGAAGCAAAUCCGAACCCUUUCCAACCCAAACCUUCAAGAAAGGAACAGAUGGACGCAGCAAUCGACCCGCGCGCUCAAGAUUACACCCUUGCGCCACAAAACAAGCCGCAAGAUCAAAUCACUUCCUCGGGAAAGAACACCAAAUCGAAACCAGAAAACGAAUCAGGAAAAAGAAUCAAGAAAAGAAGGAAGGCCAAGCAUUGAUCGGAGAGAGGGAAGGAAUCAGAAGAGAGAGCUUAACAGCGAAGGGUACCUGAUGAGAACCAGUUGAAACCCUAGGACGGAUGGAGUCGUCGUCGGAAAGAGAGGAAGAAUCGAAAUAGAUGGAGGAAAGAACCGGAAACCCUAGAAAGAGAGAAAUAUCUCCGAUUGCCCCCCUUUUUGUUCCUUUAAAUAUAUUAAUUAAGCAUUUAUAGAUAACUAAACAUGUAUUUAGAAUGAUUUCUUGGAAAUUUAUUUUAAUAUAGCUAUACAAAGUUUAUUUUUGACAAGGACAAAAUUCAUUACUACAAAUCCGCAUGGGACCCGCCCCUAACGGGACAAUAAAUGGGAUUUCCAUCUAUCAAUAUAUGGGUAUAUAUAUGGGUCAAUUGAACCUUUAGACUGGGUUGAAUCUUGAUUAAAUUAAUUAUAAAUUACUUGAUUUUAAUUAAAUUAAAUAAAAUAAUAUCUCAAAGAAAUAGAUUCAACAUUCAAUUAUUAUUAUUAUUAUUAUUUAUUUAAAUAUUAUUAAUUAGUUUUGAUAAUAUUUUUAUUUUUAAAAAAAAUAUUCGAUCAAAUCUCAAUAGCUAUAUUUGUAUCAAAACCAAAAGCAUUGGAAUAAUUCAUUCAGAAAAGCUCUCACUUGCAUCACGUUUUCUUCUUAAAAUGAAGAAAUAUUUUCUUCUUGAUUUUUAAAAUUUAUUGUACUAUCGAUAUUAAAUUAAAUCAAAUCAAAUUUGAAUUGGCUUAAACCAAUUCAAAUGAAUCGGUUCAGAAAGUUUUGAUUAGAAUACAAUUACUCCAAUCUCCUGCAAAACAAAUGUCUUAUGUCAUGCACCAGAAAGUGGCGUGGGAUGAGGAGGACGCAGCUUUCACCAGGGAAGAAGAAGUCAUGGCAGAAGAAGCAGGGAAAGCAUGCAGAAUCAACGGCCAAAAGCUCAGAGAUCACAAGGAAAUAGGAACCCUAUUCUAAUCUGCUACCUUCUGUUAAUUACGCAGUCUUGUAUUAACCAUGAUUAAGACAUACUUUACCAGGAAAAAUAUGUUAAGGCACCCUUCAAGAAUUGUGCUCAAUAAAGAAUAGCAAUAUCAUUGAUUAGCAUGGACUACAAAGGCAUGGCCUCAAAAUGAAACCACAUUCAAAUCAAAGGCAUGACUUCUUGCUGCGAGUCAACCAAUUUGAUUGAACUGCUGUGACAAGAUUAUUUCAGUACACAUUUUGUUUGGAACACUGAUUUAAAAGCAAUGCUGUAGACACCCAAAAAAAAUGACACCCUAAUCAACAUUAAAUGUGGGAAUGAUCAAGAGGAAAUGAUGCCUAUAUAAAGCAACCAGGUAAACAAGAUUAAGAGAGAUGAAGAAGACGUUUAACAUGACAACUAAUAUUGGCAAUGUCUACUUUCAGAAUGGCUCUAUGAAGGACCUCAAUCUACAGCAAGUAGAUGAGUUGGGACACUGUUGCUCUGCCAUGUGGGCUGUAUGAGUUAAUAGCACCAGAAAGGUUUCCUAUAACUGUUAGGAAUACAGAUUGCUGCAGACAUACUGAUCAAGUCAAAUGGGUAGAGAGAGAGAGAAUUUACUUGGAUCAUAUAGCCUAAGAGUUGAACAAAAAGGAACAUAUUUUGCAUAAUUGCCUAUGAGAAAGUACAAUGAUACAUAUAACUGAUGACCCGUGAGGGAUACAUGAUGAAAAGAGCAGUGGAAACAAUAUCUACCUCCUUCGAGAAACUGAUCUGGUGAACCCUUCUCGAACAACCGACUCUUUUGUUUAAUACAACACAAACAAAUCAGGCCAAAGGACCUGCAAAGCCAUAGAAGAGAGCAGUCAAGUACAAGGAAGGGGUACUGCAUGAUCCCAAGUAAUAUAACUUAUUAAACAAACAGCAUCAACCGCAUUCUCCAAAAAAUAAAGUUCCAAUAAGUGGGCAAAUUAAGCAUCAAUAUCGCCAAAGAAGGUACAUCAUUGGAGCGAUGGGCAAUAAUAACCAAAUGCAAGAUUCCAAAACCUCUGAAGCCAUAACAAGAAUGAACAUUCACUCACGAUAAACAAGAGUCAGGGAACAACUCCAUAGCAUGCCUUGGGGCAAAUCAUUGAUGGAAGGAUAGUGGAGUUAAUAGCAAAAAUUCAUAUCAGGCAACUGACAGGAUAACCACAGAGAAGGAAAAAAAAGAUAUAGACAAAAGAUAACCAUAUACCGGUACACUGAAAACAAACCAUGGUGAGAAACAAUCACACUGAAUUAGCAGAAACAAAGGUAUAAAUUUCAUCUAUGAAAAAAUUCAUAUCAGGCAACUGACAGGAUAACCACAGAGAAGGAAAAAAAGAUAUAGACAAAAGAUAACCAUAUACCGGUACACUGAAAACAAACCAUGGUGAGAAACAAUCACACUGAAUUAACAGAAACAAAGAUAUAAAUUUCAUCUAUGAAUACACAUUCACAGAAGUUCUAUGCUAUGAGAUUCUGAUGGAAUUCUAUAUUUCACAAUCUUGAUCACAACAUGACAUCAUGAUUAACAACAUCUUUUUAUGAUAAUUUUUACCAUAGUUCCAAAACCUAAUACCAUGUUAUAUCAUAUACCAUACAUUUGCCACAUGCUAAAUAACUAGUCAUCUCUUAACAAGGCAUGGAAGACCAUGUCAUACUUUGAUGAGUCAUGACAACGUUGUUUCCCCUUGCAUUUAAUACCUCAAAUUGUAAUUGCAAAUGCAACUUACAGAUGCAAUCAGAAUGAAAACCGGGAAAAUCUAAUUAGGUUGAGAUCAAUCCAUAUCUGAUCUAACCCUCAAGCAAGAUCUGAUCAGAUCCAAAAUUUUAAUGGAUUGGUCUACAGUUCUUUCAAAUCCAACAUACAUAUUUGGAUCUCCAACUCAAUCUAGAGAGGAAGAAAACUGGAGACAGUAAGUUGUCAAAUUCAAUGGCAGCAUUGGCUACAAGCAGCAGAGAGAAAGGGAGGGGAGUAGAGCAGCCAAAGUGAUGGGAAGAGAAUUGUAUAUGACACUGAUGGCAGCAAAAAGAGGGCAAGAAUGAAAAAGAGGGAGAUGUACAUACAGUUAUUGGUAGAACAAUUAGUUAUUGGAACAUCCCAGUAUACAUUCAUUCCAUCUAAUAUCUGGUACACACAGGAUUUGCUACAGUACAUAAGCUAAACAUUUUAAUGGGUUAUAAUUGUAAAUAACAAAAAGGCUACCAAAAAAUAAAAUAUUUUCUACUUACUACUUGUUUCAGCGUCUAAUUCUAGGCUUGCACCGAAAUUCUGCUAGAAGUGCUAUAUGAUCAGAUGACCAUUCAGGAGAAGGGAUUGCAGUGUUCUUGCGCAGGUUCUCCUCGUCUAAGAGCUCCAACAGAGAUUCUACCGAAAGUGAGUCCGCUAAAGAAAAAAGCAAGAUAUCUUUAAGACAAUUUGCAUAAGAUAUUCUGAAAAACCUUUAAACACCAAAAAAGAAAUCAAGAAAAGCAUUUACAGUAUACAUUCAAUUUACUAGAAAAGCAUGUACACCUGUGUAAAAUAUGUAAUCAACAGUGCCAAUAAAAUCCCUGGUGCAAUUUGUAAACAAAGGUUCAUGUGUUGAGGCAUCCAUUCUCCUCCUCUGCUGCUCUAGUCCAGGACUGACUCCAACCAUUCUUGCAAAUGAUGAGUAUGCACUGACCUGUGUGCAUGUGCAUAUAUGUUAACACCAAGAAAAGCUUAAUUGUAAACACAAAGAGAAGUAAAUAAAAAAUUACCAAUGGAAGCUGGUGAGUUAUCUUGCUUGUAGGGCGCAGAAUCCCCAAGGGAUCUACAGCCAAAUCUAGAUGCAGUGGUUCAACUUUGCCAUUUGCAAGAAGCGCAUGAGGGGCACUACAUUCAUAACACUCAUUUAUAUACUAUGAUUUCCUCUGUUUAUGUAAAUAGUGAAACUGACUAGAAAAAAGUGUAGACCUUCCUGGUACAGCGUUAAAAUCUCCACAAACCAGCAUCGGAAUAUCUGCACUAACAGCAAUUUUCUCCAAUCCUUUUAAAAGAGUAUGAACCUGAGAGUAUCAAAUCGGCAAGAACAUAAUAAUGAUUUGAAAGAAAAACAAAUGUAGCAAUACUUACACAAAAUAUAGAGCAGGAUAGAACAAAUACCUGCCAAAGCUUAACAUCCUUAUGUUCAUGAUGGACACUUACGUGCGUGUUUGCCUGCAUGGAUGGUUAAAAACAAAUGAUUAAGAAAGUUACAAAACCUUACAUUAGUAGCAAGAAUAACAAAUUAUAUAUGUAUUUAUGCAGAAAAUUUUAGCCAAUGACUUCAACAGAGCACACACUUUCCUAACAUGUUGGAAAAUAAAAGCAAGUAAAAGAAGAACAAAAUAUUCUAUUGUUGGCUUGUUGCACAAAAGAUAAAGCCUAAAGGAAACCUCCAAUAGCAACCAAUUAAAAUGAUUCAUCCACCAAAUCAAAAUGUAACACCAUGCUUCAUACUGAUAUCUAUUUUCCCAACAAACUAAAUAUGAUCUAUAACAAAAUCUCAUAUUUGUUGUAGAAUUCUCUAUCAUACUUUCAACUGCCAAUGAUCUAACUCUCCCCAAUUUUAUUUGUGAAGAUUACUUGCAACAAUAAAGAGCAGCAUUUGCCUUGAUCAGAAAAAACCAUCCAAUUGUUGAAAGAAAAAUAUUUUUGAUGCCUCCGAGAGGAUAUUAUCAUGAUCAUUGUAGUUGAAACACAAUUCAAAUUGCACCAAAUUCUUCCAAACAAAAAGUUAAGGCACAUCUCAAAAAUAUUCUGUACAGAAAUUCGAAAAUUCCAUAGAAAAUGUCUUUCCUAGAGAAAAUCUCUUUCAUGAUUUGUUUUAGAGGUAACAACACAUACACAUAGAGACACACAAACAUAUAUGAACAAUUCCUCUUCAGACUUCUAGGAAAAGGUAAUAUUCGAGUUUUCAGGAACUUUAUCUGGACAAUGAAAGAAGUUUAAUAAAUCCUUUACCAGCUUUGUCUUUUUCCAUAAAAAAAAUCCUUAGAACCAAGCUUAACCAUAAAGAACUUCAAUUAGAAAGAUGUAAAAUAUGAUAUAAAAGAGUUCGUCUUAAAAGCUUGACCAAUUUAUGGUUUAUAUGUACCUUAAAAUCUUAACAUUUUAAGCACAUAACAAAACAUAUUCAUAAGCCAAAUAGAUAGUAACUGUUAUACAGUAUGUAACUUUAGAAAAAAAAAAACAAUAUAUUAAAAAAUCACCACACAAAUUAGCUGCCUCUUUCCAGAAUUGUCAGUGCCAUGGUUACUAAAUUUUGCUUCCAGAACCACAAUGAGGGCAAUAUUAUCCUACAGAUAAAUAAACAUCAAUAAGAAUGAGGGACAAGUAGCAACUAUUAAAAAUGUUAAGAAAACUAUAUUUGAAGGGCCAACUACCUUUAUUAAACGACUCAAAGCAACUUUCUUCUGACCAGCUGUCAUUGCAACAUCUGUUACAGACUGUGCAGCCUUGUUGAAUUCAACCUGCAAACAGACACUAAGUCAAUCCUACAUUGCAUUAGAUAACAUCAAUCAGCACACAGGAAAUAAAUUGCAAGGUGCAGAUACCUCAUAUUUUUUUACAUGUGAAAAUCUGUCCCUGCGGAAAAAUGUAGCACAACCAUCAACAGCAUUUGAGUUGCCACCAUAAACCUGAACCCCAACAAUUACAUUACCAUGUGUAGGAGACAAAGUGAUAGAACAUGAAAAUAAUCGAGACAAUUCAAAAUGAAAGUAAACCUCCGAAGUUUUUUUCUUG